rnacentral:rRNA from 1 species
GAUGAACGCUGGCGGCGUGCCUAAUACAUGCAAGUCGAGCGAACAGACGAGGAGCUUGCUCCUCUGACGUUAGCGGCGGACGGGUGAGUAACACGUGGAUAACCUACCUAUAAGACUGGGAUAACUUCGGGAAACCGGAGCUAAUACCGGAUAAUAUAUUGAACCGCAUGGUUCAAUAGUGAAAGACGGUUUUGCUGUCACUUAUAGAUGGAUCCGCGCCGCAUUAGAUAGUUGGUAAGGUAACGGCUUACCAAGGCGACGAUGCGUAGCCGACCUGAGAGGGGGAUCGGCCACACUGGAGCUGGGACGCGGUCAAGACUCCUACGGGAGGCAGCAGUAGGGAAUCUGCCGCAAUGGGCGAAAGCCUGACGGAGCAACGCCGCGUGAGUGAUGAAGGUCUUCGGAUCGUAAAACUCUGUUAUUAGGGAAGAACAAAUGUGUAAGUAACUAUGCACGUCUUGACGGUACCUAAUCAGAAAGCCACGGCUAACUACGUG